GAUCAGCUCAGGACGAACGCUGGCGGCGUGCUUAACACAUGCAAGUCGAACGAAGAGCGAUGGAAGCUUGCUUCUAUCAAUCUUAGUGGCGAACGGGUGAGUAACGCGUAAUCAACCUGCCCUUCAGAGGGGGACGAACAGUUGGAAACGACUGCUAUACCGCAUACGAUCUAAUCUCGGCAUCGAGGAUGGAUGAAAGGUGGCCUCUAUUUAUAAGCUAUCACUGAAGGG
rnacentral:rRNA from 1 species